rnacentral:tRNA from 1 species
GUUUAAAUAGCUUAAAAUUUAAAGCGUAUCAUUGAAGAUGAUAUUAUGAUUAUUAUAAUCUUUAAACA